UGAAGUCUUGACCCACACGGUGUGGCCUUGCAGGAGCGGUGAGUGCAGCGUCUUACCUGUUGCUUCAGAGAAAAGUGUGUCAAUCCGCAGGCUCCUGACUUGAGGUUGUUCCUCCGAAUGAUCAGUAGAAGAAACAGAGAAGAGGAGAGAGGGUUAUGGAUUCUUCAAGGGGGGGGGGGGGGAUGGUGGCAAGUGGACAGUUCUCUGUGCCAGCCACCAGCUGGCACCCUUCCCCAAGGCAGCUCGCUUUCUUCUGAGGAGGUUCACAGUGACCAAGGGGCAGGGAGAGGGGCAAGGAGAUGAGCUAGGGGUGGCAGAAAAGGCUGUCGGUAUGUCUGUCUGAUACUCUUCUAAGCAAAGCGAUAGACCUCUAUCUCCUAGGGGCUGUGUCUGUGGUCAGAGUGGACAGCUACCACCACUGGCCCUCUCGCCUCAGGUACAUUCUUGCUGUCUCGGAUCCUGUUGUUUUUAGGGUGUCCUCCUCAACUGUGGCCACUUCUGUUCAUUAUUAUGGGGUCCACUCUAAGAAAAUAAGUAGUGCAAUAAUAGAAACAUAACAUAACUAAUAGAAACCAUACAGACCUGUGGACACAGUUGAUGACAUGACGGGUCGGCUGGGGUGGAGGGAGAGCAGGCAAACCUUCCUUUUGUCUCGUGAAUCCUGAUCAUGUACAUUUGCCCUGCAGUCCUAGGAGGUGAGCACCCGCUUGCUUCGUCUCUGUGUUAUGCUCUCCCUUGCAUGACUGUAUCUAAUCAGAGGUUGGGUGUAGGUUAGGGGUCCUUGAAAGCUUUCUCUCUGACUGUGUUCAGGAAGUUGAAGUGGAGUGUCAGAAAUGAUGGGAGAUGAUGGUGAAGUAAACAGAUCCGGGCAGCGUGUGAGGAAACCUGGCAGCCCUCUUCCUGCUUCUCUCUAGUUGUGACCCGAAGGAACCAGGCUUCCUGCAUGGAAAAGGGUCCCUGUGCCAAGAGGCCUGACAUGUCUUCCAGGCCAGGGCACUGUUCUGUCUGAUAAACUCCAGGGUGAAGACAGGUUACUGGUUGGCAGGAUGGAGGUAAGUCACAUGGCUGCAGCCUGAGCUAUAUGGAUGUAGAGUUAAAAUGGCAUGUAUUCAAGGAAGCAAAAAGAUACCAGAUACCUUGGCAGAAGCCCAUGGGGGCAGCAGUGGUUAUCUGUCUUGCUUUCUCCCCUUAUUGCCUUUGUCCCUGGUGUGUGUGAGGUGCUUAUUUUGUAUUUUCAGGUGAACAAUGGCUGUAAAUGAAGCUUCGGCUGCUGACUCCAGCCCACCCCCACUUACCUCUCUCAUGUUGGUUACAAGGUGACAGUUUGUUCCAUCACAUGCUACUCCCAGCACUGCUGCCUUGCCAAAAACAAUGGGGCUAAUGGCAGUGCAUUGACACCUCUAAAGCCGUGAGCCGAAAUAAAUCCUCUCGCUUAGUGCCCUACCUCAGAUAUUGUUAAAGUAACAGAAAGUUGAUGCUGGCAGCUGACCAUGCUCAUGUGGCGUUUCUGUGUCACCUCUAGGGGAGAGCUCAGCUCUUUCUGCUCUCUAACUAUGGCCUGUGCUGCCUUUGCACACCCUCUUCCUUCUCUCCAGGACAGGUGUUGAAGUAAGCAGACAGCCCAGUUGCAGUCAGCUCACAUUGAUCACUACAGACCAGGCUGUUCUACACUGUAGAUCACAGAGCUCUUUGCUAUGAAGGUAGCAGGCUUGCUGCAGCCCCCUGAGGUGGAUCUGAGAGAGAAGGAGCCAUGAGAAGGGGUCAUUAAUGCUUUCUGGGUUAUUAGAAUUUGAACAUGGAGAACAGACUUCAUCUUGCUCAUUCAGUGCUAGCUUCUUUUUGGUUAAGACCUUGGGAAGUGAUUUGGCUUUUGUGGUGCCCCCAUCCUCAUGGCCUGAGGUGUAGACUUGGACUCCGUAUGGGGUCUGCCCUUGGCACUGAGGUAUAGUUGCCUAGGGGAUCUACUCCUGCUGUGUUACAGUAACACCAGUGUUUCCCAAGAGGAUGUAAAUGCUUACUUGAUCUCCAAAAAGUCUUGAAGCAAAUUAGAAACAACUUGAGAAAUCAUGUAUGUCAAUAGAAAGUUGACUUGGGAAACCUUUUACCCAUCCAUUCACUUGUGGAGAGAAAAUUUGAUUCUUUUCCUCAGGGUUCCUAAAGCGUUAACAAGAGCCAGAAGGGUGUUUCCAGAUUCCUCACACACUAUUCCAAGCUUAAAUGGAGGGCACUGUAUGAUGGAAAGCAUAUUCUCUGACAGCACUUUUUCUUUAUUUAAUUACUUAUUGUGUGUGGGCUUUUAGCACAAACCUGUCCCUUGCCCCACGCUCUCUGGGGGUCUGUAACCACAAAAGAGUGAAUGGGGAUUUAUAUCAAACGACAUAAUUAAAUGCUGCAGGUGUGACAGGGUUCUCAGGAUUCA
rnacentral:lncRNA from 1 species